GCCAGGCGUGGUGGCACACACCUGUAGUCCCAGAUACUCGGGAGGCUGAGGUGGGAGGAUCGCUUGAAACCAGGAGUUCUGGGCUGCAGUGCGCUAUGCCAAUCAGGUGUCCGCACUAAGUUCAGCAUCAAUAUGGUGACCUCCCAGGAGUAGGGGGGGCCACCAGGUUGCCUAAGAAGGGGUGAACUGGCCCAGGUUGGAAACAGAGCAAGUCAAGAAACCAUAUUCCCACUGACAGUUACCUCCCUCUUCCCCCAACUCCCAUCUGGACAAACAUGCAUCUCAUUUCUG
ensembl:misc_RNA Metazoa_SRP Metazoan signal recognition particle RNA